GACGAACGCUGGCGGCGUGCUUAACACAUGCAAGUCGAACGGAAAGGCCCUGCUUUUGUGGGUUGCUCGAGUGGCGAACGGGUGUGUAACACGUGAGUAACCUGCCCUUGACUUUGGGAUAACUUCAGGAAACUGGGGCUAAUACCGGAUAGGAGCUCCUGCUGCAUGGUGGGGGUUGGAAAGUUUCGGCGGUUGGGGAUGGACUCGCGGCUUAUCAGCUUGUUGGUGGGGUAGUGGCUUACCAAGGCUUUGACGGGUAGCCGGCCUGAGAGGGUGACCGGCCACAUUGGGACUGAGAUACGGCCCAGACUCCUACGGGAGGCAGCAGUGGGGAAUAUUGCACAAUGGGCGGAAGCCUGAUGCAGCAACGCCGCGUGCGGGAUGACGGCCUUCGGGUUGUAAACCGCUUUCGCCUGUGACGAAGCGUGAGUGACGGUAAUGGGUAAAGAAGCACCGGCUAACUACGUG
rnacentral:rRNA from 1 species